rnacentral:rRNA from 1 species
UACGUAGGGUGCAAGCGUUAAUCGGAAUUAUUGGGCGUAAAGCGUGCGCAGGCGGUUUUGUAAGUCUGUCGUGAAAUCCCCGGGCUUAACCUGGGAAUGGCGAUGGAGACUGCAAGGCUAGAAUCUGGCAGAGGGGGGUAGAAUUCCACGUGUAGCAGUGAAAUGCGUAGAGAUGUGGAGGAACACCGAUGGCGAAGGCAGCCCCCUGGGUCAAGAUUGACGCUCAUGCACGAAAGCGUGGGGAGCAAACAGG